rfam:Parcubacteria group bacterium CG1_02_36_42 cg1_0.2_scaffold_17706_c, whole genome shotgun sequence.
CUAGUAAGUCGGGUGAUCGCCCCCCACCACUUUAUGUGGAUUUCCAAUUUAGUUAUAAAUUGUGAAUUCAAAAUAAUUUUGUAAAACUCGUUUCGGAAGUCUGUAUAAAGUGGUGGGGGGAGGAAAGUCCGAACUCUUACUCCUGAAUUUUUCAGGGUUAAAAAGGUAGCAGGUAAUACCUGUCGGCCGUAAGGCUAGAGAUGCGAACAGAGACGCCCUAGACACCGAAAGGUGUCGGGCGCCCGGCCUAGACCCGAAGGGGUCGGCAUAGGGCGAGUCCAAGAAGUAAUUCUUGGGGUGAAACGGCUAAAUUCUUACCUGGGAGCAAGGUUAAACCAAGAGUUGAGGAAUUAACUUUGACUCUUGGAAAAGUAAACCGCUUGAGCCCUGGAGUAAUCCAAGGCCUAGAUUGAUGAUCACUUCACCCGCCAAAGUUUUGUUCGCAAAAUUUAGGCGGGCAAGAACAGAAUUCGGCUUACGGACUUACUAGGACA